GGGGGUGGGCGGUCCUACAUGGGGUUGAAGGUUCUAGGGUUGAGUACGAGGUGGGGUUGUGUGGGGUUGGUGUGGGGGUUGUCCUAGGUGGGGUUGAAGGUUCUAGGGUUGAGGAUGAGGUGGGGUUGUGUGGGGUUGGUGUGGGGGUUGGGGGUGUCCUAGGUGGGGUUGAAGGUUCUAGGGUUGAGGAUGAGGUGGGGUUGUGUGGGGUUGGUGUGGGGGUUGGGGGUGUCCUAGGUGGGGUUGGUCCACAUGCUCCUGAAGUUGUAGGACUCCAGGAGGGACUGAAGGGCCCGGGAGGCGUCCUCACUCUGGAGGUCCUCAGGGGGGAGGUCCUGCGGGUGGUGG